UCCUACUGCCCCACCACUAGGCCCAGCUUACCUCCAACCAUUGAACAAGUACAUGUAACUUGAGGCUUGAUGCCUCUGUGUGCCUGAGACAGGGCAAUGAAAUGCCACGCACCUUAUGUGUACCUGUCUCUUCCCCUUCUCCUCCCUUUAAAAGCAGGAGACAGAAGGGCAUCUUGCUACCUUCCUGAGCCCCAGUAAUCUGCUGCCAGAGGCAACUGCCUUACCUCACCUCAUAGAAGGGCCACCCUGCAUAGGCCCAAAAACCUGUUGUCCUUACCCCUCCUCCACUCCCAGUUUUCAUAGAAAGAACACCUGACAUAAGUUCCAGAUCAGAAGGAGAUCGUGGAAUGGUUGGCUUCUCAUAAGCCAUAUUUUUCUAAGGUGUUACCCUUUGCCAAGGCAUUGUUUAUAAAACAAGUUCCAUAAAUCAAGUGAAAAUACACAGUGGAUUAGCAGCCACAGAUGCCACACUGUUUUAUACCUACUUCCUGGCAACUUGACAAUCCAAAGGUACCUACCUACUGGUGGAUCUCCGGCUACUAUGUGAACCAGGCCAUGUUGUUUUAGCACAUGAAAAGACAGACAUUUCUUCUUUGCUAAUUUUAGAACUGGCAGAUAUUGAACUGGUGAAUUUCAACAACUGAAUCUG